UGGGAUUAACAGAUACGUCAAUUGCUAUGAUUAGUAAUUAUUCUUCGGUUUAAAACAAAAGCGACCAUCUACGUAAAACUUAAACCUAAACGUAAUGAAAAGGGUAUUCCCCGAUAAAUCGGAUAUAUAGACCUCAGUUACCACGGAGUAUCAUUCUGCGAGAAGACAGCUACAACAUGAGGUUGGUAAACGUUCUUCGUUAGUGUUGAAUGUAAAUACAGCAAGACAAGUUUAUUGCGACGAUUUCUUAAAAAAAAUGUAAAAAUUGCAGACAUGAAAGACUCUAGACAAAGCGAAGGGAGCUCGUUAAUGCUAGUACUACUUGUGAUGGGCUAGGUCAAGUGAAAAAUGAAUGUUGAUUAUUACCCAAGGUCAAAGGUUUCGGUGCAAAGUCAUUUGCUUAUAACGGUUGUGUACUGUGGAAUUAACUACCCUCUUCUAUAAAGGUGGAAUCUUAGUUGUAUAAUUUUUUAAUUACCUGUCAAAAAACACUUUCUAAAUUGGUAAUUGUCUCUUUAAAUGAUGUAUAUCCUCUAGUUUUAUUUUCUAUUAUUUUGAUAUAUUAAAUUUUAUUUUGAAUGUUUUAUGUACACUAUUGUCUUUUUACAAUUUAAAUUGUGACUUUUACGCCUCUCUUUUUCAAAAUCAUCAGUAUCGAAAGACUAUAAUGGAAAUAAGACACUGAGUAUUCUUUCUUGUGUUAAACUAGAAAGGAUGUCUUUGACGUUGGUUCAUUUGUUAUACAUGUUAUAUUAUUUUUAUUGUUUUAUCAUGUAUUGGAUAUGUUUUACAUGUUAUUACAUUAUACUGAAAUAAAUCUAUCAAUCUAGCUUUCAUAAUAUAUCUAUGAAUCUAACUAUAGUAUGUCUGUCUGACUGUAUGUCUGUUCAUCCAUCCAUCCAUCUAUCCACCUACCUACAUACCUACCUACCUAUCUACCAUGCAUAAAGCUAGUAAGAUGUAACAAAGCUAGUAAUUAUAAGCUGUAACAUAAUAUUGUUAAGUAUGAAUAUAUAAAUAGUGUUUAACAAAGAACAAACGUAACUAAAGGUAAUUUUAGCUUUUGUGUCGACUCGCAAAUAAAAAAGUAUCAUUUUCUUAAAAUUAUUUCUGGUCAUCACAAUAGCAACUGCAACAACAACAUAUAAUUAUAAGGAUAAAAUACCGACAAAAUAAAUUAUGAUGAUAAAAUUUGAUUAUACAGACAAAAUUUAUUUAAGUCUCAGACCGGUUUAACCGGGGGGGGGGGGCUUUAGAAUUAGCCUCCGUCCGCCCGUCAAUCCCUGUGUCCGUCCGCCAGUCUGUGAGUCAGACAGUCUGUCCACAAAACUCGAUCCCGUUUAUAAACCUUGAUAUUCUUAGGAGCUUUUACACGUUUUUUAUUUCUUCCUAAGUAGAAAAAUUGGUUGCUACGGCAACAAAUAGACUUAAAAUAUGGCAAAUAUAAUAAUAUUUGUGAAAACUCAAAAAAUAUUUUUAUGAAACUUGAAAUUGAGAUGGUAGUAUAUGGAGAUUAUAAAUAUUUUUUUAAGCUUGAUUGUAGGGAGUAUAUUAAGAGCUGUCCUACACACCCGGGUUCGGCACCGCGUCCAAAUUUUGUUCACAGUAAAAUAUUUUUCACUAUAAAUUCUUAAUUUCUUAAGGUAUUUACUUCAAACUUCAACUGUAUGUUUCUUAUCAUCAACAACAUAAUAUGUGACAAUGUUCACAACUCUAAAUUAUCAGAUCCACAUUCCUUGAACUUAGAAUGUUCAUGAAAAAAACUUUUUCGUUAACUUUUUUAUUUCUUAAUGUAUCUAGUUCAAACUUGAAAUGUAUUCAUUUGUUUCUUAUUAUCACUCAAAUCAUAUGUGAGAAAAUUCAAUACUCUAGCUUGACUAUUUCCAGAAUUAUGUCCCCCUUGAAUUGAGAUUUUUUUCUAGAAAUUUUUAUUUUAACUCAAAUCUCUUUAUUUUAUAAAGGAUUUACUUUAAACAUUAGAAUGAUAUGACAAUGUUUAUAAAUCUAGCGUUCAUAAACUUUGAAUCUUCCUUGUUCAUUAUUUAAUUUUCUUAUUUCUUCAUGGAGUUACUUCAGAUUUAAAAUAUAUACUAAUUAUCAACACCUUCAUCAUAUGAGGUUAGCUUUACAAAUCUAGGGGCCUGGGUUUCCAUGAUUAUUUUCAUUCAUUAAAUUUUCUUCUUUAAUACUAUAAAAGGUAUAUUUGAAAAUUGCUAUUUUUCACUUUUUUCGUUGAAACUGUAAAUGGUGUCUACUUUAAACUUAAACUUUAGAUGAUUGUUCUUUGUCAUCAAUUACAUAUGCAUAUGAAAAUGUUCAUAAGUCUAGCAUCUUUAUUUCAAUUUUUUUCUCCCCUAUAGUUUAAGAAUGUCGCUUUUAAAAAUGUUAUUUCCUGGUGGCAACCGUCCGUCCGUCUAUCUGUCCGUCCCUAAAAUAUAUUUCCUGAGAUCAUUUUAGAAGAACUUGGAACUUUUCAAACAAUUUUACUUAAAAAAGAGAAAAGUUGAAACAUAUGUUAUAAAUAUUCAUCUUGAGGAAAUGGGUUCUUUUGAUUAUCUAUUGUAUUAACAUAAUAUCCUUUCUAGACAGACAGGGAAACGUAACAUAUUACCAAGAUAUAGACAAACUAAAACUCAAAAUAUUUAAAUUUAUUAAUUUCUUCCGAUUUGGAUGGAAGUCUCUGAAAUUCAUAACACGGAACUGCGGGUCAGGUAUAUGUGACUUGUUAUUAUAUAUCUUACUUGAAGAAUAUAUGGAAAAUCAUUUUAAGGUUAGUAUCAAAUGAAAUAAUGAAGCUACAUAAUUAUGUGUAAUUAAAAUUCAAAUAUAAUUAAUUUUCUUUCAAAGUCGCCAAAAAUGAAAUUACGAGUUUACCUAUCAUAUCUCAGGGAUAGGCGAGUGAGUUUUUGAAAUCGAAUCUGAUGUAAAAUUCAGAUGUCUUGUUUAAAAUUUAUUUUCAAAAAGAAAUCUUUUAUUUCUAGGUCUACAUUAAAUUAUAUUAUCUUGUGAAUACCAAUCCACUCAAACUGUGGCAUGCUUCACCAAUCAAAAAGCGGAGAGCGAAAAGAUCACCAACUGAACAAAAAUGCUGUAUGAGUAAGAGUUUUGAGAUACGGGGACUAUCGAUAUCUGAAUGCGAGUGCAUAAUAGAUGGUACAGCAAAUGGUAUAAAAUAGUAUACUACAGUAUAUUGACAUACAAAUAAGUAAUGAAAUUUGCUAUCAAAACUAAUUAAACUUUAAAUCAAAUUAGAUAAUUAAAACAUGUACAAUUAAUUAAUCAUAAGUGUCACUAUGUUACACUACUAUGAGACAGUGUCUUUGUUUGUAUUGUUAUACAGAGCACCGAACGAGGGAACAGUUUCAGCUUGAUGUUUCAUUGCAAGAAAAUGAAUCUUCACAACUUGUACUUCACUUGUUAGUCGGGAGUUGUACAGAAAGAGGUUUGGAGGGCAGACUGUUUUUACUGGAUGUCGAAAGCAUUGAAUAUGUAAAUGACUUAGACGAUGAGAGUUGUCUUGGACCUUCAGCUGAAGAAAUUUCAGAACAAUGUACUGCAAGCGUUAUGAAACCUCAUGAUUGUGCCACGGACAUGAGUUACAAAAUUCAUGAACAGUGUUCACAGCAGUAUAUGUCUGAUUCAAGACUAGGGGGAAUAAUAUCACAUUCUGACGAAUACCUAUCAAUCCUAUAGCUCUACGGAAAAGGAUAAAAGUACUUUUCAUUUCCAUUUUUUUUGAGAUUGCAGAUGCCUUCCAGAAAAUUCCGCUUAUAACGAUAUUCAAGGGCCCGCCGAAUUUGUAUCGUUAUAUCGUUUUAUCCGAAGGCAAAAGCCUCGUUAUAAGCGGUAUAUCCUUACAAGUAGAGUUUUAUUAUUUGCAUUAUUAGUUGUAUUAUUCUUUAUUACCCUUACACUUUGAAUAAAUAUUAAAUGUCCAAGCAUGCCACUUAAUUUAUCCAAACAAUUUACCCAAGUUUUAUAUAAUUGCAAUAUUCAAUGUGUAACAAAUGAUCUACAUGUAUUUAAUCUUUUCUCCAGACGAUAGCAGUUGUGCGGAAGUCUCAGCGGAGCGAACCUAUGUGUCCACCGAAACUACGAACUGUGAUUGUACAGCGAAAAAUGGUUACACAGAGCAGCAGGAAUAUUGCAAACUCUGUGGUGCUGAAGCAAGACAAGAUCAUUUAAAGCCACAAUCUAUAGAUUACUUGUCAGUCAGAAGCUGUGGAGAAAAUGAAAUUCCUGAUGGUGAAGUGGCUGCAAAUGAGGAGACUAUUAGAGCCAGCUGUGUAACAUGUGAAGUAGGAGAGUGGCUAGAAAGUAAUGUUCAUAAGCAACACCCUAAACACCAUAAAGGCUUACAUCCACAUGAAAAGAUUAAUAAUUGCGCUUUCCCUACAAAUCCUGUCUGUCCGAAGAGUGCUGCUAAAGUAAUUGAAUCUAACUGUGAAAGUUUAGUUAGAGAUAUUUACCCUCAUAAAAUAAGCAAUGACAUGUCCGAAGACAAAGUCAGUAAAGCCCCAUUAGAAGUAAUGACUGUUCCCCCCCUUACAUUACCAGAUCCUUUUCACCGAGACGUGCUCGUCGUGGUCUAGGCACAGGGCAGAACAUGGUAAGAGCUUAAAUAAAAAAAAGGCUUUUAGCAUGUUUUGUCCUGACAAACGUCGGUGUUUAAUCUUUAUAGGCUCAAAUUUGACCAAAACAAUUUAUGCCGUUCAUUGUUUGUAAGCAAUCUUAUUCACCAAGUACACAACGCUAGGAAAGAGUAGAAAGAAAGUGAAGAAUGUGUUUUGAUGAGAUUGAUCUGUAAGUUGCCUAAAGGAAAAUUAAUAUGACUGAAUUCAUACAGUAAAUGAAUAAAUAUAUAUAUUUUGGAAACUACAUUAAGAACACUUGUAUCGUAUUGUAAAAUCAAAGUGCUGCAGCACUGAAUGCGACGGACAUGCAACCGGAGAGACAUUAUGGUUUUUUUAAGAAAAAAAAACAACAACACAGAAUAUAACAGAUAAAAUUUGUUCCAUACAAGUUCGAGAUUUGUAGAGCAAUAUAUUUUAUGUGUCCCAUUCUGAUAUAAUUCAGAUUUUCUACUUUCAAGCAGAACAAGUCCAAAUUUUUAAAUACAGAAUGAAAUUUAUGCCUAAAAACUCUGGUCAAACUUGUAAAUCAGUGUCCUUAUCGAUUUAUUCCAAGAAAUGAUAUGUAAAUAGAAAAAAAAACUGUCUAAAAUAAAACCAUGCAAAUAAACUUCAAUCAUAAUACAUAAUACAUGUGAGAAUGUUAAUUAGAAUUGCUGCGUGUUAUAUCAUAGUGGGCAUGUAGACAAUAAAAUAUAAGUCAUUUGUAUUUUUAUUUUUAUUUCUCUUGGAUAUGUCUCAUUAAAAAUAUUUUUGGUUAAAAUCAUCAGCAAUUAAUGGUGUAUUUUUUUUAGAUUUUUUUUUCAUUUACGUCACUUAAGCACUACAGUGUUUAGCUGUCCCUUUCAAUUUCACACUAAAUUCCAUUUUCAACUUGUUUGCUUCUUACAAUUGUAUAGAAUUUCAUAAAGUAUUGCAUGUAAACAAAGUAAGUAUCCGCUGGUUUAUUACAUGUAUAAUGUGUACUCGUCCGAAAGUCAGCACAGAUGAUGCAGAAUCUAUUUUUAGAAUAGUGUUAUCUUCUGGCUAUUAUAAUCUCAUAGCAGGUUAACUCAUAUCGUGACCUAGAAAACUAUGUAAACAAAACACAAGAAUCGGAAGUAGAACUGAUAUUAUAACUUCCUUCAAUAAAGAUUACCAUGAAAGACUAUAUGGUGGUAAAGUGUUGAAAAACUCCCUUGUUACAUGCAUUUUCAAAAAUAGAGAUUUAUAAUACUAACCAUUGUACUGUAGUCUGAUUUAUUAAUAACUGCUGAAUAUUCAGCUAAACCCGCGGUAUGAGUCACGAAAAGAGUUCUUCUUUUAUUAAUGCGCGAGUUAUCUAAAGUCACGAAAAACUUUUGAUCUGUUAAUAAAAAUGUUUUGUUUAAUGGGGAAAUAUUUAUUUCCUGCUUAUAAUUUCUAUGAAUUAUUGAGCUUACUCCUUAAUUAUAGCAUAAUUUGCUGUCCUACUUUUUCGACAGCGGUAAAUCGUUUCAGCAGUUAUUUGCAUAAUUGCGCAUUAAUACUACGGGGCUACAGCGUUUUAAUCAAUCAAAUACGUUUAUAUUUUAACUUGGAUAACUUAAUUUGAAAUUGAAAAGGCUAAAUAUGGAAGUUUUUAAGAUAUCCCGUCGAAGUAUGGGAGUUUCAUAGGAUCAAAUUCAUGUACUAUUACGUGGGCUGUUAUUCGGUUGAGGACACAUUGCGCGAUCGUAGCCAACGAAAUCCCAUGUGUAGAUGACAUAGCUCUGAACGCGGCUGAGGGCGCGUCCGUCGCAAAAAGUAUUGUAUUGUAAACUGGAUUGCAUUGUAAAAUAUACAAUUCACGAUAAUAUAACAAUUAGUCUAUUUGUAAAUUUUGUAGUCUAUUUAUUGUGAUUUAUUCUAGUCUAAAUAUUUUAGACUUUGUGUACGUAUUAAAAUUUUAGAAGUUAUAAAUGUUUCUGUUAUGCUAUUGAAUUCGAAAAUAAACUAAAUUUUGAAGAAAAA